rnacentral:misc_RNA from 1 species
AACGCACAUUGCGCCCCUCGGUAUUCCGUGGGGCAUGCCUGUUCGAGCGUCAUUUACACCCCUCAAGCUCUGCUUGGUGUUGGGCGUCUGUCCGCCGCCGCGAGGCCGCGGGGCCGCGGACUCGCCCCAAAGGCAUUGGCAGCGGCAUCCGCCGGGCUUUCUCCAUCAGCGCAGCACUGUUCGCGCAGCCGGGGAACCGCGCAGAGGCCGCGUCCAUGAAGCCCCAUCUUCGCAAGUUGACCUCGGAUCAGGUAGGGAUACCCGCUGAACUUAA